rnacentral:rRNA from 1 species
AGGAAGUAAAAGUCGUAACAAGGUUUCCGUAGGUGAACCUGCGGAAGGAUCAUUAUCAAAAAAUUUUCAUUAUUUUUUGAAAUAUUUUUUCCAAUUUCCCCUGUGUAUUUUACUCCAUGUUGCUUCCACUAGACCGGUAUUUAAUACCCUUUAAUCCACUAAUACUUAGAGGGUUGGAGAAAUGUCGGUGGAUAGCCUAAAAUUAAAAGAACUUUUAUUUAAAUUUUGUCUGAUUAAAAAAUAAAAAUAAAAAAAACUUUCAACAACGGAUCUCUAGGCUCUUGCAUCGAUGAAGAACGCAGUGAAAUGUGAUAAGUAAUGUGAAUUGCAGAAUCUCGUGAAUCAUCGAAUCUUUGAACGCACAUUGCGCCUAAUGGUAUUCCAUUGGGCAUACCUGUUUGAGCGUCAGAAUCCUUCUAAUAAUCAAACUUUUAUAUCUCUAAUAUAUAAAGAUGUUUGGACUUCAAUUGAGAAGAGUAAUAUUGUUAAUAAUAUUACUUUCUUAAAAACCAGAAAUAUCUUGUGUUGGUUUUCUUCCAACUCAUUUUGUAUAUAAUAUAACAAGUGAGUGUGAAUUUAACAAGCAAUAAUAAUACUUUUGGAUGACCUCAAAUCAGGUAGGGAUACCCGCUGAACUUAAGCAUAUC